UGGGGAAUUUUGGACAAUGGGGGAAACCCUGAUCCAGCCAUCCCACGUGUGCGAUGAAGGCCUUCGGGUUGUAAAGCACUUUUGGCAGGAAAGAAACGUCAUGGGUUAAUACCCCGUGAAACUGACGGUACCUGCAGAAUAAGCACCGGCUAACUACGUGCCAGCAGCCGCGGUAAUACGUAGGGUGCAAGCGUUAAUCGGAAUUACUGUGCGUAAAGCGUGCGCAGGCGGUUCGGAAAGAAAGAUGUGAAAUCCCAGAGCUCAACUUUGGAACUGCAUUUUUAACUACCGGGCUAGAGUGUGUCAGAGGGAGGUGGAAUUCCGCGUGUAGCAGUGAAAUGCGUAGAUAUGCGGAGGAACACCGAUGGCGAAGGCAGCCUCCUGGGAUAACACUGACGCUCAUGCACGAAAGCGUGGGGAGCAAACAGG
rnacentral:rRNA from 1 species